AUUGAACGCUGGCGGCAGGCCUAACACAUGCAAGUCGAACGGUAACAGGAAGAAGCUUGCUUCUUUGCUGACGAGUGGCGGACGGGUGAGUCAUGUCUGGGAAACUGCCUGAUGGAGGGGGAUAACUACUGGAAACGGUAGCUAAUACCGCAUAACGUCGCAAGCCCAAAGAGGGGGACCUUCGGGCCUCUUGCCUUCGGAUGUGCCCAGAUGGGAUUAGCUAGUAGGUGGGGUAACGGCUCACCUAGGCGACGAUCCCUAGCUGGUCUGAGAGGAUGACCAGCCACACUGGAACUGAGACACGGUCCAGACUCCUACGGGAGGCAGCAGUGGGGAAUAUUGCACAAUGGGCGCAAGCCUGAUGCAGCCAUGCCGCGUGUAUGAAGAAGGCCUUCGGGUUGUAAAGUACUUUCAGCGGGGAGGAAGGGAGUAAAGUUAAUACCUUUGCUCAUUGACGUUACCCGCAGAAGAAGCACCGGCUAACUCCGUG
rnacentral:rRNA from 1 species